rnacentral:rRNA from 1 species
AAGUCGUACAAGGUUUCGUAGUGACCUGCGGAAGAUCAUACUAGAGCAAAGGAUAGACAGCGCCCGCGGAGCUUGCUCCCUGGGGCUACCCUACUUCGGUAGGGUUAGAGUCGUCGGGCCUCUCGCAGAAGCUCGGUCCUGAACUCCACCCUUGAAUAAAUUACCUUUGUUGCUUUGGCGGGCCGCCUCGUGCCAGCGGCAUCGGCUGUUGCGUGCCCGCCAGAGGACCACAACUCUUGUUUUUAGUGAUGUCUGAGUACUAUAUAAUAGUUAAAACUUUCAACAACGGAUCUCUUGGUUCUGGCAUCGAUGAAGAACGCAGCGAAAUGCGAUAAGUAAUGUGAAUUGCAGAAUUCAGUGAAUCAUCGAAUCUUUGAACGCACAUUGCGCCCUCUGGUAUUCCGGGGGGCAUGCCUGUUCGAGCGUCAUUAUAACCACUCAAGCUCUCGCUUGGUAUUGGGGUUCGCGGUCUCGCGGCCCCUAAAAUCAGUGGCGGUGCCUGUCGGCUCUACGCGUAGUAAUACUCCUCGCGAUUGAGUCCGGUAGGUUUACUUGCCAGCAACCCCUAAUUUUUACAGGUUGACCUCGGAUCAGGUAGGGAUACCCGCUGAACUUAA